GGUUGUGGCUCAGUGGUAGAGUGCCUGCCUAGCAUGCAGGAGGCACUGGGUUCAAUCCUCAGCACCA
rnacentral:tRNA from 1 species